CUCAGUCAAUCAGCAGCCGCCCCGGAGCCGCACUCACAUCCUCCUCCUCCUCGGUCCCGCUCCGCCCCCUCACUUCUCCGCCGUCGUUAAAGUGGAUUGCCGCCGGCCCAGCUCAGGGUGGUGAAUAACAUCUCUCUCCGGUUGUAGAGAUCCAAGAUGAAAUGCGAUAUGAAAUAAUUCAAAACAAAUCGUAUAGCAAAACUACUGAGAUAUUCCGCAUGAAAGAUGGAUUCAGGAACUGGGCACUUGGACUGACAAUUUGCAAGUAUUACUCUGCUGCAAAAAAUGGAAGGAAUGAGAAAUCCAGAAUCACAGAACUGUUACAUUUCAGGAACUUCUUCAAAAUUCAUGUUAACCUAUCACCAAAAACAGAUUGACUAUGAACUUGAAUUAUCAGCAGAUUAAAGGAAAGAGUAUGGAUUAUUUUGGAUCA